rnacentral:lncRNA from 1 species
CUCAUUUAGAAACGUAACUCUGAAUUUCUCUGUCUCUGCAAAGGGGUAAUUCCUGGGUGUUCUUCAGUGGUGAGUGAAGGCAUUUUUGCACAUGCUAUCGGAUGAACUGAGUCUAGAAUUUUGGUGAGCUCUCUUCCAGAAUAGACCACUGGUUCCUUGGGUGAGAAUGAAGACUUGCAAAGAGCCUGAUGGUGAGGAUAAGAUUGCUUUGUGAGAAGUUUAUACAUCAGAGCAGUGGGAACAGACAUAUUUGAUACCGAAAAAAGUGAACCCCAGGAGAGGGCUCCAAGCUUCAGCUCUUGUCUGAGACUGUCCUGCACUGUGGCUGUAUGAUUACCAUAGCCCUUGACUUCUGAAUGGCAAAUGGCACCUGAAAGAGAAAUCACUAAGUCACAGGGUCGGCUCCAUCCUACUCCUCUAUACUAUACAGAUGUCAGUCACCUUUUGUCCGUGACCUUGUGCCUCAGAUGGAGCUUUAAACGUCGUUGACUUUCUGCUUGCUUCUCUGCUUACUGAGAGAAUGUUGACUCUUCAGCCUUCUGCAGUGUUUGCCCCAAAACUGAUUGCUGGAUGACAGAUAAAUGAACAAGGGACCUGGGCCACUCAUCAGACAUGUGGU